UACGUAGGGGGCAAGCGUUGUCCGGAUUUAUUGGGCGUAAAGAGCGUGUAGGCGGCCACACAGGUCUGCUGUGAAAACUCGAGGCUCAACCUCGAGCUGUCGGUGGAAACCGUGUGGCUAGAGUCCGGAAGAGGAGAGUGGAAUUCCCGGUGUAGCGGUGAAAUGCGCAGAUAUCGGGAAGAACACCCGUGGCGAAGGCGGCUCUCUGGGACGGUACUGACGCUGAGACGCGAAAAGCGUGGGGGAGCGAACAGG
rnacentral:rRNA from 1 species